CCUGGUUGAUCCUGCCAGUGGCAUAUGCUCGACUGAAAGAUUUAAGCCAUGCAAGUGUAAGUAUAGUAUGCUUUAUUUACGAAACUGCGAACGGCUCAUUACACCAGCUAUAAUCUAAGCGAUGACCGAGUCAAAGACUCUUUAUUUGGAUAACCGUUGGAAAACUAGGGCUAAUACAUAAAAAAAGACGGAACUUCUUUGAGGAACCGUUGGGGAUGUUUUAGAUUCAAAACCAAUGGUGAGGGGAAACUCUCAUCUUUUUUCCGGUGAUUCAGAACAUAUUUCAAAGCGCAGAGCAGCAAUGCGGCGCUACAUCGCUCGAAUAUCUGUCCCAUCAAUUGUGUCGCGAGAGUCGUGUUCUCGCGAGAUAUUAACGGGUAACAGAGAAUAAGGGUUUGGUUCUGGAGAGGCAGCUUGAGAAACGGCUACCACGUCUAAGGAUGGCAGCAGGCGCGCAAAUUACCCAAUGAAGACAUUUUGAGGUAGUGAAUAGUAAUAACGAUGGCGACCUAGUUACUAGUUUGCCAAUUGGAAUGAGACAGAUUUAAAAUACCGAACGAGUAACGAUUGGAGGGCAAGUCUGGUGCCAGCAGCCGCGGUAACACCAGCUCCAAAAGCGUAUUCCAAUGUUGCUGCAGUUAAAAAGCUCGUAGUUGGAUUUGAUUGACGCAUUUUCGGGGGAUCACAUAGGAUUUGUGAAUUUCUCUCGAUGUGUGUCUUUAACCGCGAAGAGUCAGUGUAGAUGGCUUGUUAACUCAGGUUGUCUUGGCGCGGGGCCGCAAGGUCUAACGUCGGUGUCGCGAGGGUGGGUUUCCACGCGCGUGGGCAGACACCUCUUCUAUUUACUUUGAAAAAAUUAGAGUGUUUAAAGCAGGCGUAUUUCGAAAGAUUUACUUGCCGUUGAAUAGAUGAGCAUGGGAUAAUGAAAAACGACACUUUCGCGUAGUUUUGUUGGUAGUUCAACGUGGAAGAGUAAUGAUUAAAAGGGAAAGAUUGGAGUUCUGAGUAUUUUGAGGCCAGCGGUGAAAUGCGUAGAUCCUCGAAAGACUAACGAAUGCAAAAGCACUGGACUAGGAUUUACCCAUUAAUCAUGAACGAAGGCUUGGGGAUUGAAGAUGAUUAGAUACCGUUGUAUCCAAGCAGUAAACGAUGCGAACCAAGGAUUGGAUUCAGGCGUUAGAGUAGCGUAAGUUGCUCUAAACAAAAGAUAGCCUCUUCCAGCACUUUGAGAGAAAUCAGAGUUUUUGCGUUCCGGGGGGAGUACGGUCUCAAGGCUAGAACUUAAAGGAAUUGACGGAAGAGCAUCACCGGGCGUGGAAUUUGCGGCUCAAUUUGACUCAACGCGAGACAGCUUACCAGGCUCAGAGAUUAGAAGGAUAGACAGAUUGAAGCUCUUUCUAGAUUUAUUCGCUGGUGGUGCAUGGCCGUUCUUA
rnacentral:rRNA from 1 species